UACGGAGGGCGCAAGCGUUAUCCGGAAUCACUGGGUUUAAAGGGUGCGUAGGCGGCUUGAUAAGUCAGGGGUGAAAGCCCGCAGCUUAACUGCGGAACUGCCUUUGAUACUGUCGAGCUUGAAAGGGGUUGAGGUCAGCGGAACGUGACAUGUAGCGGUGAAAUGCAUAGAUAUGUCACAGAACACCGAUUGCGAAGGCAGCUGGCUGGACCUACUUUGACGCUGAGGCACGAAAGCGUGGGGAGCGAACAGG
rnacentral:rRNA from 1 species